ACUGAGAAGAUAGUGGCGAACGGGUGAGUAACACGUGGGGUAACCUGCCCAUAAGAGGGGGAGUAACAUCCGGAAACGGGUGCUAAUACCGCAUAGUUUUCUUGAUCACAUGAUUGAGAAAGGAAAGACGGCCUUUGUGCUGUCGCUUAUGGAUGGACCCGCGGCGUAUUAGUUAGUUGGUGAGGUAACGGGCUCACCAAGACGAUGAUACGUAGCCGACCUGAGAGGGUGAUCGGCCACAUUGGGACUGAGACACGGCCCAAACUCCUACGGGAGGCAGCAGUAGGGAAUCUUCCGCAAUGGACGAAAGUCUGACGGAGCAACGCCGCGUGAGUGAAAGAAGGUUUUCGGAUUGUAAAACUCUGUUGUCAGAGAAGAACAAGUUGGAGAGUAACUGCUCCAGCCUUGACGGUAUCUGACCAGAAAGCCACGGCUAACUACGUGCCAGCCGCCGC
rnacentral:rRNA from 1 species